rnacentral:rRNA from 1 species
UGCCAGCAGCCGCGGUAAUACGAAGGGUGCAAGCGUUACUCGGAAUUACUGGGCGUAAAGCGUGCGUAGGUGGUUUGUUAAGUCUGAUGUGAAAGCCCUGGGCUCAACCUGGGAAUGGCACUGGAUACUGGCAAGCUAGAGUGCGGCAGAGGGUAGUGGAAUUCCUGGUGUAGCAGUGAAAUGCGUAGAGAUCAGGAGGAACAUCCGUGGCGAAGGCGACUGCCUGGGCCAGCACUGACACUGAGGCACGAAAGCGUGGGGAGCAAACAGGAUUAGAUACCCUGGUAGUCCACGCCCUAAACGAUGCGAACUGGAUGUUGGGCUCAACUUGGAGCUCAGUAUCGAAGCUAACGCGUUAAGUUCGCCGCCUGGGGAGUACGGUCGCAAGACUGAAACUCAAAGGAAUUGACGGGGGCCCGCACAAG